rnacentral:rRNA from 1 species
GAUGAACGCUGGCGGCGUGCCUAAUACAUGCAAGUCGAGCGAACGGACGAGGAGCUUGCUUUUCUGAUGUUAGCGGCGGACGGGUGAGUAACACGUGGAUAACCUACCUAUAAGACUGGGAUAACUUCGGGAAACCGGAGCUAAUACCGGAUAAUAUUUUGAACCGCAUGGUUCAAAAGUGAAAGACGGUCUUGCUGUCACUUAUAGAUGGAUCCGCGCUGCAUUAGCUAGUUGGUAAGGUAACGGCUUACCAAGGCAACGAUGCAUAGCCGACCUGAGAGGGUGAUCGGCCACACUGGAACUGAGACACGGUCCAGACUCCUAUGGGAGGCAGCAGUAGGGAAUCUUCCGCAAUGGGCGAAAGCCUGACGGAGCAACGCCGCGUGAGUGAUGAAGGUCUUCGGAUCGUAAAACUCUGUUAUUAGGGAAGAACAUAUGUGUAAGUAACUGUGCACAUCUUGACGGUACCUAAUCAGAAAGCCACGGCUAACUACGUG